AGUGAACGCUGGCGGUAGGCCUAACACAUGCAAGUCGAACGGCAGCACAGUAAGAGCUUGCUCUUCCGGGUGGCGAGUGGCGGACGGGAGAGGAAUAUAUCGGAAUCUACACUUUCGUGGGGGAUAACGUAGGGAAACUUACGCUAAUACCGCAUACGACGUACGGGUGAAAGCAGGGGAUCUUCGGACCUUGCGCGGUUGAAUGAGCCGAUGUCGGAUUAGCUAGUUGGCGGGGUAAUGGCCCACCAAGGCGACGAUCCGUAGCUGGACUGAGAGGAUGAUCGGCGACACUGGAACUGAGACACGGUCAAGACUCCUACGGGAGGCAGCAGUGGGGAAUAUUGGACAAUGGGCGCAAGCCUGAUACAGCGAUACCGCGUGUGUGGAGAAGGCCUUCGGGUUGUGAAGCCCUUUUGUUGGGAAAGAAACGCAGCAGGUUGAUACCCAGCUGUUCUGACGGUAACCAAAGAAUAAGCACCGGCUAACUUCGUG
rnacentral:rRNA from 1 species